UGCCAGCAGCCGCGGUAAUACGGAGGGGGCUAGCGUUGUUCGGAAUUACUGGGCGUAAAGCGCUCGUAGGCGGAUUGGUCAGUCAGAGGUGAAAGCCCAGGGCUCAACCUUGGAAUUGCCUUUGAUACUGCCAGUCUUGAGUUCGGGAGAGGUGAGCGGAAUUCCGAGUGUAGAGGUGAAAUUCGUAGAUAUUCGGAGGAACACCAGAGGCGAAGGCGGCUCACUGGACCGAUACUGACGCUGAGGAGCGAAAGCGUGGGGAGCAAACAGGAUUAGAUACCCUGGUAGUCCACGCCGUAAACGAUGAGAGCUAGUUGUCUGCAGCAUGCUGUUAGGUGGACGCAGCUACGCAUAGCUCU
rnacentral:rRNA from 1 species